AUUGAACGCUGGCGGCAUGCCUUACACAUGCAAGUCGAACGGUAACGCGGGGCAACCUGGCGACGAGUGGCGAACGGGUGAGUAAUGUAUCGGAACGUGCCCAGUUGUGGGGGAUAACUGCUCGAAAGAGCAGCUAAUACCGCAUACGACCUGAGGGUGAAAGCGGGGGAUCGCAAGACCUCGCGCAAUUGGAGCGGCCGAUAUCAGAUUAGGUAGUUGGUGGGGUAAAGGCUCACCAAGCCGACGAUCUGUAGCUGGUCUGAGAGGACGACCGGCCACACUGGGACUGAGACACGGCCCAGACUCCUACGGGAGGCAGCAGUGGGGAAUUUUGGACCAUGGGCGCAAGCCUGAUCCCGCCAUGCCGCGUGCGGGAAGAAGGCCUUCGGGUUGUAAACCGCUUUUGUCAGGGAAGAAAAGGCUCCUGUUAAUACCGGGGGCUCAUGACGGUACCUGAAGAAUAAGCACCGGCUAACUACGUGCCAGCCGCCGCAGUAA
rnacentral:rRNA from 1 species